rnacentral:misc_RNA from 1 species
CUCUGUAAAAUAUACAACAGUAAUUACAAUUGAUGAGGGAAAAAAAUAAAAUAUAAAAGCUAGAUUUACAAGCAACAAAGGAUAAAAAUGAAAGAAUGAAAGCUCCAAUUGCUACAACCGAAGUUCAGCAAUGUUUUAAGAAUAUCCAUCUGCAGUUAUUUGGAAUUCUUAGCUUUCAUCUCAGCAGCAGCAGCUUUAACAGCAGAUUUUGCCAGGCUGCUGGAUUUUAAUGCACUUUUUGGAUUAAG